rnacentral:rRNA from 1 species
CCUACGGGAGGCAGCAGUAAGGAAUAUUGGUCAAUGGACGCAAGUCUGAACCAGCCAUGCCGCGUGAAGGAUUAAGGCCCUCUGGGUUGUAAACUUCUUUUAUAGGGGACGAAAAAAGGGCAUUCUUGCUCACUUGACGGUACCCUAGGAAUAAGCACCGGCUAACUCCGUGCCAGCAGCCGCGGUAAUACGGAGGGUGCAAGCGUUAUCCGGAUUUACUGGGUUUAAAGGGUGCGUAGGUGGGUUGGUAAGUCAGUGGUGAAAUCUUCGAGCUUAACUCGGAAACUGCCAUUGAUACUAUCAAUCUUGAAUCAUCUAGAGGUAAGCGGAAUAUGUCAUGUAGCGGUGAAAUGCUUAGAUAUGACAUAGAACACCAAUUGCGAAGGCAGCUUACUAUGGAUGCAUUGACACUGAGGCACGAAAGCGUGGGGAUCAAACAGGAUUAGAUACCCUGGUAGUCCACGCCCUAAACGAUGGAUACUCGACAUUUGUGAUAUACAAUAAGUGUCUGAGCGAAAGCAUUAAGUAUCCCACCUGGAAGUACGACCGCAAGGUUGAAACUUAAGAGUAGUAGCGNGNGAGAGCGACGACGACGACGACGGAGGGAGGAG